GUGCUUGCUUCAGCAGCAUGUGUAUUAAAAUUGGAAUAAUGCAAAUAUCAACAUGGUCCCUGCACAAGGAUGACAUGCAAAAAGCCCCGGAACUACACUGUAAUUGU
ensembl:snRNA U6 U6 spliceosomal RNA